UACGUAGGGUGCGAGCGUUGUCCGGAAUUACUGGGCGUAAAGAGCUCGUAGGUGGUUUGUCGCGUUGUCCGUGAAAAACUCACAACUCAAAUUGUGGGCGUGCGGGCGAUACGGGGCAGACUGGAGUACUGCAGGGGGAGACUGGAAUUCCUGGUGUAGCGGUGGAAAUGCGCAGAUAUCAGGAGGAACACCGGUGGCGAAAGGGCGGGGUCUCUGGGGCAGUAACUGACGCUGAGGAGCGAAAAGCGUGGGGAGCGAAACAGGAUAGAA
rnacentral:rRNA from 1 species